UUAAUCAAACAAUACUCACAGAAACAAUAUUACCUGUAGCAGAUGCAG
rnacentral:sRNA from 1 species